AGAGUUUGAUCCUGGCUCAGAUUGAACGCUGGCGGAAUGCUUUACACAUGCAAGUCGAACGGUAGAGGGGGCAACCCCUUGAGAGUGGCGAACGGGUGAGUAAUAUAUCGGAACGUGCCCAGUCGUGGGGGAUAACGUAGUGAAAAUUACGCUAAUACCGCAUACGAUCUAAGGAUGAAAGCGGGGGACUCGCAAGAGCCUCGCGCGACUGGAGCGGCCGAUAUCAGAUUAGGUAGUUGGUGGGGUAAAGGCUCACCAAGCCAACGAUCUGUAGCUGGUCUGAGAGGACGACCAGCCACACUGGAACUGAGACACGGUCCAGACUCCUACGGGAGGCAGCAGUGGGGAAUUUUGGACAAUGGACGCAAGUCUGAUCCAGCCAUUCCGCGUGCAGGAUGAAGGCCCUCGGGUUGUAAACUGCUUUUGUACGGAACGAAAAGGUCUCUCCUAAUACGAGAGGCUCAUGACGGUACCGUAAGAAUAAGCACCGGCUAACUACGUGCCAGCAGCCGCGGUAAUACGUAGGGUGCAAGCGUUAAUCGGAAUUACUGGGCGUAAAGCGUGCGCAGGCGGUUAUAUAAGACAGAUGUGAAAUCCCCGGGCUCAACCUGGGAACUGCAUUUGUGACUGUAUAGCUAGAGUACGGUAGAGGGGGAUGGAAUUCCGCGUGUAGCAGUGAAAUGCGUAGAUAUGCGGAGGAACACCGAUGGCGAAGGCAAUCCCCUGGACCUGUACUGACGCUCAUGCACGAAAGCGUGGGGAGCAAACAGGAUUAGAUACCCUGGUAGUCCACGCCCUAAACGAUGUCAACUGGUUGUUGGGUCUUAACUGACUCAGUAACGAAGCUAACGCGUGAAGUUGAC
rnacentral:rRNA from 1 species